GUGGCUAUGGUGAAAUGGUUAUCACAGCGGUUUGUGGUACCGCUAGUACGGGUUCAAUUCCCGUUAGCCACCCCA
rnacentral:tRNA from 1 species